UACAGAGGUCCCAAGCGUUGUUCGGAUUCAUUGGGCGUAAAGGGUGCGUAGGCGGCGCGGUGAGUCGGGUGUGAAAUCUCGGAGCUUAACUCCGAAACUGCAUUCGAUACUGCCGUGCUUGAGGACUGGAGAGGAGACUGGAAUUUACGGUGUAGCGGUGAAAUGCGUAGAUAUCGUGAGGAAGACCAGUGGCGAAGGCGGAUCUCUGGACAGCUCCUGACGCUGAGGCGCGAAGGCUAGGGGAGCAAACGGG
rnacentral:rRNA from 1 species